UAUAGAUGUGGACACAUUAUCCAUGCAUUUCAUUUUUAAUUUUUUUCUCUUUGUGGGCUCAAUGGACCUGAAAUCUUCCAAAACGACCCAAUCAUGGUGGACAAAGAAGGCCGUCGUGAGCCAUUUUGGGUUUAGGAAAGCAAUAGUAUGUUAGAGUGCAAAUAAUCUCUCCCCUCCCUUCCCAUUUGGAAAAUAUGAUGACUAGCGUAAGACAAAAUCUUAUCACAGUAUUAGGGGACAAUGAUUUUUUGCCUGUAUCCACCCACCAAUGGAGCUAAUAAUGGGACCUCGCGGCCCACAAUCUCAAGACAUAAGGAAGGGAAAAAGCAAUCUGGAUGACCCCCUUCGGCCCAGAUCACUCACCCCUUCUCUUCUCUCCCAUUUAAACCACCAGCAGACCGUUCCAAAUCGUUUCUGAAUGUAAAAAAUGUGAUGCUAGAGAGAGGAAGAAAGAAGAAAAAGGCCAGAGGUGAGAGAGACAGAAAAGGUGGUGUGAUAGUUUCAUGACGCAGCACGAUUUUAAGAAGAAAGAGUGAUAAUAUACUGACAGUCGACAAUGAAGAUUGGUUUUGGAAUUGUUGGGAGAUUCGCGCACUAAUGGUUCUCCAAGCUGUGAAUGAAUGUGAUUCAUUCAGUAUUCUGUUUCAAGGAUUUUUUUACGGGUAUUUCUGAUAUUUCUAUUCUUUAUUGACCAUGUUGGAAGAAAAUAGAGAGAUUUCACUCUUAGAAUAGGAUAGCAAAAGCUAUUAAGGCUAGCAUGACGCCAGCCAGAAAAAGCUUCUCCGUCGUCUUUUUCAUCUAUUGUUACUGCUCUAUGCGUUCAAGAUAUUUAUAGAAGUCAGAUGGAGACAUAAUUACUUUUCAUGA